GCGAGGAAGGCUGCGAGGGGCGGGGCGAGGUCAGGCGUUUGACUCCGCCUCCCCGCGCGGAGAUCGCGGGGGCUGGGCGGCUGGCUCCUCUUGCUCCAGGUCCUCGGGAUGUCACCACCUCUGCUCACAGGCGCCCCGCUCAGACUUUGUUCCUUGCCUCCCGGCUCCCGCUGCGGCUGCUGCGCCUGCUUUGGACGGCCGCCGCCACCCAAGGCCACCCGAAGAGCGGACCCCGCAUCUCCGCUGUCUGGAAAGGUUUAAAAAGGCAAUGUUCCCAUAACAAAUAAUGGCAAAGAAAGGAGUUCCUAGUCACACUCAGCAAACCUGCCUUCCCAGACUACUGAAUACACUGGCUGGGCUUGUGCAUGCAUGUAUAGGAGGCCCCCCACAUCGUAUAGCUGAUCUUCGCGGCGUGACAUUUCUUCUCUCUUCGUUUUUCUUCAUCUGCCUUCUCAAGAUUUGAAUCUUCACAGCUUCAUCUUUAAGACCCUGGUCCAGACGCUUCAUCUGUAAAACCUACCAGUUUAACUGUAAAAUGAGGAGUUGAGCUCAUCCUUCUGAAUGCUUUCCAGCACUGCUAAGAAUUCAGCUUUCCCCCAACCCAUUUUGAGACAGCGUUACAGGAUGCUGAAACCUACUUCAUUUUCUUCCUUCUGGGCCUGCAAGAUGACAGCACUUCCUACACUGCCUUAUAGUGAGGCCGUGCCCAGGAGGCCAGCUCUGGCUCAAGGGCUAUGCAGAGAAGUGAUAUGUGCACUUGUGGGCCAGAACAUUUAGUUCCAGUGUACAACUCCCCAGCUCUCCCACCCGUUGCUGCAGCAGCCGUGGAAGCCAUGGAUUUAGAUGGUGGAGUUGCCAGACGGAAACAGCCCAGAGCCCUGAGUCACCACAUGGACCAGAGCGGCCCUCUAGGGUUGCCCGUCUCACGUCGGACACGAGUCUGCUCAAGAAAUAUAAGCCUCUGCUGUGGGCCUGAACGCAGUACCCUGAGAUCAAGACCUGAGCUGAGAUCAAGAGUCAGAUGCUCUA